rnacentral:rRNA from 1 species
CCUACGGGAGGCAGCAGUGGGGAAUAUUGCACAAUGGGCGCAAGCCUGAUGCAGCGACGCCGCGUGGGGGAUGACGGCCUUCGGGUUGUAAACUCCUUUCGCUAGGGACGAAGCUUUUUGUGACGGUACCUAGAUAAGAAGCACCGGCUAACUACGUGCCAGCAGCCGCGGUAAUACGUAGGGUGCGAGCGUUGUCCGGAAUUACUGGGCGUAAAGGGCUCGUAGGUGGUUUGUCGCGUCGUCUGUGAAAUUCCGGGGCUUAACUCCGGGCGUGCAGGCGAUACGGGCAUAACUUGAGUACUGUAGGGGUAACUGGAAUUCCUGGUGUAGCGGUGAAAUGCGCAGAUAUCAGGAGGAACACCGAUGGCGAAGGCAGGUUACUGGGCAGUUACUGACGCUGAGGAGCGAAAGCAUGGGUAGCGAACAGGAUUAGAUACCCUGGUAGUCCAUGCCGUAAACGGUGGGCGCUAGGUGUGGAGGUCGUUUCUACGUACUUCGUGUCGUACGCGUACGACAUAAGUACGCCCGCCGUCGGGAGGUACGGCCGCGACGGACGUAAACUUAAACUUAGUAAGUUAGUACGGCGUGAGACGUCGCCGAACGGACGACGACGAGGGAGGUAGG